rnacentral:rRNA from 1 species
UACAGAGGGUGCGAGCGUUGUCCGGAUUGACUGGGCGUAAAGCGCACGCAGGCGGUCUGGCGCGUGGGGUGUGAAAUCUGGCCGCUUAACGGCCAGGCGCCAUCCCAUACGGCUAGACUGGAGGGCUGCAGAGGUCGAUGGAAUUGCCGGUGUAGUGGUGAAAUGCGUAGAGAUCGGCAGGAACACCCAGGGGGAAACCAGUCGACUGGGCAGCACCUGACGCUGAGGUGCGAGAGCGUGGGGAGCGAACCGG